GAUGAACGCUGGCGGCGUGCCUAAUACAUGCAAGUCGAGCGAACAGAUAAGGAGCUUGCUCCUUUGAAGUUAGCGGCGGACGGGUGAGUAACACGUGGGUAACCUACCUAUAAGACUGGGAUAACUUCGGGAAACCGGAGCUAAUACCGGAUAACAUUUAGAACCGCAUGGUCUAAAGUGAAAGAUGGUUUUGCUAUCACUUAUGGAUGGACCCGCGCCGUAUUAGCUAGUUGGUAAGGUAACGGCUUACCAAGGCGACGAUACGUAGCCGACCUGAGAGGGUGAUCGGCCACACUGGAACUGAGACACGGUCCAGACUCCUACGGGAGGCAGCAGUAGGGAAUCUUCCGCAAUGGGCGAAAGCCUGACGGAGCAACGCCGCGUGAGUGAUGAAGGGUUUCGGCUCGUAAAACUCUGUUAUUAGGGAAGAACAAAUGUGUAAGUAACUGUGCACAUCUUGACGGUACCUAAUCAGAAAGCCACGGCUAACUACGUGCCAGCAGCCGCGGUAAUACGUAGGUGGCAAGCGUUAUCCGGAAUUAUUGGGCGUAAAGCGCGCGUAGGCGGUUUCUUAAGUCUGAUGUGAAAGCCCACGGCUCAACCGUGGAGGGUCAUUGGAAACUGGGAAACUUGAGUGCAGAAGAGGAAAGUGGAAUUCCAUGUGUAGCGGUGAAAUGCGCAGAGAUAUGGAGGAACACCAGUGGCGAAGGCGACUUUCUGGUCUGUAACUGACGCUGAUGUGCGAAAGCGUGGGGAUCAAACAGGAUUAGAUACCCUGGUAGUCCACGCCGUAAACGAUGAGUGCUAAGUGUUAGGGGGUUUCCGCCCCUUAGUGCUGCAGCUAACGCAUUAAGCACUCCGCCUGGGGAGUACGACCGCAAGGUUGAAACUCAAAGGAAUUGACGGGGACCCGCACAAGCGGUGGAGCAUGUGGUUUAAUUCGAAGCAACGCGAAGAACCUUACCAAAUCUUGACAUCCUUUGAAAACUCUAGAGAUAGAGCCUUCCCCUUCGGGGGACAAAGUGACAGGUGGUGCAUGGUUGUCGUCAGCUCGUGUCGUGAGAUGUUGGGUUAAGUCCCGCAACGAGCGCAACCCUUAAGCUUAGUUGCCAUCAUUAAGUUGGGCACUCUAGGUUGACUGCCGGUGACAAACCGGAGGAAGGUGGGGAUGACGUCAAAUCAUCAUGCCCCUUAUGAUUUGGGCUACACACGUGCUACAAUGGACAAUACAAAGGGCAGCUAAACCGCGAGGUCAUGCAAAUCCCAUAAAGUUGUUCUCAGUUCGGAUUGUAGUCUGCAACUCGACUACAUGAAGCUGGAAUCGCUAGUAAUCGUAGAUCAGCAUGCUACGGUGAAUACGUUCCCGGGUCU
rnacentral:rRNA from 1 species